GCCUAGGGGGUUCAAUUGGUUGAGCGUCUGACUUCAGCUCAGGUCAUGAGCUCACAGUUUGUGGGUUCGAGCCCCACAUUGGGCU
rnacentral:tRNA from 1 species